AUGAUAUUAUAUGUUGCUCUGUGUUUGACAGAAUGCAGAGCACAGACAGACAGCGUGCAACAACCAGGAGGAGAUGUGACUGCAGCUGAAGGAGACUCAGUCACUCUGGGAUGUCACUUUAACAGUAGUUUAUCCAACUAUUAUCUGUUCUGGUACAAACAGGAAGGAAACAGCAGACCAAUGUGUAACAGGAUGUGUUUUUAUUAUGUUUUUAUUCUAUUUUUUUGCUGGGCCCUGUUUGUGUGCACUGACUUUCCUCUGACGAUCCAUAAUCUUCAUGUGACAGACUCUGCUGUGUACUACUGUGCUCUGCGGCCCACAGUGACAGGAAACAGUAAACUUCUGUACAAAAACCUGCAGAGCAGAGACUUUACAAUAUUAUAG